rnacentral:rRNA from 1 species
CCUACGGGUGGCAGCAGUGGGGAAUAUUGGACAAUGGGGGGAACCCUGAUCCAGCCAUGCCGCGUGUGUGAAGAAGGCCCUCGGGUUGUAAAGCACUUUCAGUGAGGAAGAACGCCUGGUGGUUAAUACCCAUCAGGAAAGACAUCACUCACAGAAGAAGCACCGGCUAACUCCGUGCCAGCAGCCGCGGUAAUACGGAGGGUGCGAGCGUUAAUCGGAAUUACUGGGCGUAAAGCGCGCGUAGGUGGCUUGAUAAGCCGGUUGUGAAAGCCCCGGGCUCAACCUGGGAACGGCAUCCGGAACUGUCAAGCUAGAGUGCAGGAGAGGAAGGUAGAAUUCCCGGUGUAGCGGUGAAAUGCGUAGAGAUCGGGAGGAAUACCAGUGGCGAAGGCGGACUUCUGGACUGACACUGACACUGAGGUGCGAAAGCGUGGGUAGCAAACAGGAUUAGAUACCCUGGUAGUC